rnacentral:misc_RNA from 1 species
UCCGGCUUAUCACCGGCGGUUUCUUUAGAGUGCCCAACUAAAUGGUAGCAACUAGAGACGAGGGUUGCGCUCGUUGCGGGACUUAACCCAACAUCUCACGACACGAGCUGACGACAGCCAUGCAGCACCUGUCACUAGGUCCCCGAAGGGAAGGAAUCUGUCUCCAGAAGCCGUCCUAGGAUGUCAAAGGCUGGUAAGGUUCUUCGCGUUGCGUCGAAUUAAACCACACGCUCCACCGCUUGUGCGGGCCCCCGUCAAUUCCUUUGAGUUUCAGCCUUGCGGCCGUACUCCCCAGGCGGGGCACUUACUGCGUUAGCGACGGCACUCAGAGGGUCGCUCC